GAUAGAGUAGCUAACAUGCAGUAAAAUACAGACAAUGAUAGCACCUAUCUCGGAGGACUGUAAUGAGGAUUACACAUAAUAAUCACAGAUUACAAGUUGAUCUGGCACAUAGAAAGCAUCAAAUAAAGGAUGAUGUUACAUAACAACAACAACAAAAUACCAUAGCACAUUGAGAGAAGGAAUGUGCAAGAAGAGAGACAGCUAACAGCAC